GGUCUCCAAGACCUUCCUAGCGUGGAAGAGUCUCCCAAGAGGAUGUCUUCACUGGUUUUGGGGAGAAAUAAGUAAAUUGGGGUCCCCAAAAGAUUUGGAAAAGGAAGGGAUGGAGAAACCAAAGGGUCUCCAAGACUUUUCUAUAGUUUGGAAGCUAGGAAGAUGUGGAGAGAGGGGAAGGGGGUUCAAGGAGGAUCUCUAGAGUAUGGAGAGGAAUUAUGGGGUCUCCAAGACUUUUCUAUAGUUUGGAAGCUAGGAAGAUGUGGAGAGAGGGGAAGGGGGUUCAAGGAGGAUCUCUAGAGUAUGGAGAGGAAUUAUGGGGUCUCCAAGACCCUCCUAGCGUGGAAGGAGCUUCCAGGAGGACAUCUCCCUGGUUUUGGGGGGAAAUAAGUAAAUUGGGGUCCCCAAAGGGUUUGGGAAAGGAAGGGAUGGAAAAACAAGGACCCUGGAGCCCUUUCCUGGGGUGGAAGGGCUUUCAAGGAGGAUCACCUUUCUCAGGAGAGCGAGGAAGACCUUGCUUGGGUGGAGAAGGCUUCAAGGAGGGUCUCCUCGGUGGGUUGGGAGAGGAAGAAGGGAAGGGUCGGCGCCCGAGACCUUCUUAGCGCGGAUGCGGCUUCCGACGGGCCGUGGCUCCAAGGAGGCGAAGGACACGCGCAGCCCGGGCAAGGACGGCGAGGAAGCGGCUCGUUCCCGGAGGAAGAGAGAAGAAGCCGAGCCUGUUCCGGAUCCUCGUGGAACCGCAGCGUUGCAGCUCCGCCCGGAGGAUCCUCCUCCUCCUCCUCCUCCCGGGCCCCGCCCUCGCCGUGCGCGCCCACGACCGCCUCCCACGGGCGGGUGCGCGCGCUCUGCCCAGCCAAAGGGGGAAAGGAUCCGCUCCACGGUAGACCUGAUGCGGAUUGACACCGCUCCAAAUGCCCUUGGCUCAGAGCUAUGGGAUCCAUCCUAGCAGUCGUGGUUGAUCCCAAGGGCUUCUUGAGCCUUCCAAUAAUAAUAUAAUAUAAUAACUUUAAUUAUAUAUUAUAUAUUAAAUGUAAUAUAACUAAUAAUAAUACCAUAUAAUGAUAUAGUACAAUAUAGUAAUUUAAUGCUUAUAUUGUGCUAUGCGAGUACAGUAGAGUCUUACUUAUCCAAGCUAAACGGGCCGGCAGAAACUUGGAUAAGCGAAUAUCUUGGAUAAUAAGGAGGGAUUAAGGAAAAGCCUAUAAAAAUGCAUUGGAUAAUCCAGAACGUUGGAUAACGUUGGAUAAGCGAGUGUUGGAUAAGUGAGACUCUACUGUAUAUAUUAAAUGUAAUAUUACUAAUAAUAUUACCAUAUAAGUAAGGUAAAGGUAAAGGUUUUCCCCUGACGUUGUCCAGUCGUGAUUGACUCUUAGGGUUGGUGCUCAUCUACAUUUCUAAGCCGAAGAGCCGGCGUUGUCCGUAAACACCUCCAAGGUCAUGUGGCUGGCAUGACUGCAUGGAGUGCCGUUACCUUCCCGCCGGAGCAGUACCUAUUGAUCUACUCACAUUGGCAUGUUUUCAAACUGCUAGGUUGGCAGGAGCUGGGGCUAACAGCGGGCGCUCAUUCCACUCCCAGGAUUUGAACCUGGGACCUUUCGGUCUGCAAGUUCAGCAGCUCAACACUUUAACACAUUGCACCACCAGGUCUCCUUAUGAUAUAGUACCAUAUAGUAAUUUAAUGCUUAUAUUGUGCUAUGCUAAUACUAUAUUGUAUGUACAUUUGAUUUGUAAGCUGCUCUGAGUCCCCUCCGGGGUGAGAAGAGCAGGAUAUAAAUGUAGUAAAUAAAUAAAUAAAUAAAUAUGUUACCAAAGUUAAUGAUAAUACAGUAGAGUCUCACUUAUCCAACAUAAACAGGCUGGCAGAAUGUUGGAUAAGUGAAUAUCUUGGAUAAUAAGGAGGGAUUAAGGAAAAACCUAUUAAACAUCAAAUUAGGUUAUGAUUUUACAAAUUAAGCACCAAAACAUCAUGUUGUACAACAAAUUUGACAGAAAAAGCAGUUCAAUAUGCAGUAAUGCUAUGUAGUAAUUACUGUAUUUACGAAUUUAGCACCAAAAUAUCACAAUACUGUAUACUGAAAACAUUGACUACAAAAAUGGCUUGGAUAAGCGAGGCUUGGAUAAGUGAGGCUUGGAUAAGUGAGACUCUACUGUACUGUAUUUACGAAUUUAACACCAAAAUAUCAUGAUGUAUUGAAAAUAUUGACUACAAAAAUGCGUUGGAUAAUCCAGAACGUUGGAUAAGCGAGUCUUGGAUAAGUGAGACUCUACUGUAAUAAUAUUAAUUAUAUAUUAUAUAUUAAAUGUAAUAUUACUAAUAAUCUAUCUAUAUAUAUAAAAGAGUGAUGGCAUCACGGCGACCCACAAAACAACAAAACUACAGGCCCCCCAACCUCAAAAUUUGACAACACAACCCAUCAUCCACGCCUCUAGGUUGAUACAACAAAAAAGAAAAGAAAAAUAAAGUCCUAAUUAGAGAGAGAGGAAUAAUUGCUUUGAUCUCAUUGCUGCCAGUUAGAAGGCUAAGCUCCUCCAACUUGGUCUCCUAGCUACCCAAACUUGUUAAAUAAAAAACACUUAAAAAUUAGUACAAUAAAAUACUAUAAUAACAGAAAAUAACUAAAAAUAAUACAAGAAAAUAAUAAAAUAUAAUAAAUAAAAAUAUAACUUACAAUAAAAUUAAUUAAAAAAUGCAAAUAACGUCAAAUAAAAAUUACACAACAAUUUUUAACCAAUACCACCACCACUUUGCCACAGCAACGCGUGGCCGGGUACAGCUAGUAUUACCAUAUAUAUA
rnacentral:lncRNA from 1 species